rnacentral:tRNA from 1 species
GGCGGGGUAGCUCAGUUGGUUAGAGCGCGGCACACAUAACGCCGAGGUCGAGAGUCCGAUUCUCUCCCCCGCUACCA